UUCUUUUUUUUAAUCUUACAGACAUUCCCAGUAAGAGAUUGCCUUGAGCUUCGGGAAAGACAUUGAACUUUGUUUCUGAACAAGAAUAGUCCACCUGCUGAUUCCAUGUCAGAUAUAUAGUCUACAAAUGAGGGAAAGCAUGACUCCUGCCUUGGCUGUUUGCUGUCCUCAUUGGGAACAUGUUAGAGGCACAGAUGCACAGACCCCGCAUUUGACAAGGGAGCAGCCCCAGGGCAUGAGUGUACUGGUCAAAGCUGACUUUUCACCUGGGAGAGCCUGCUGCUGUUUGUAUCCCGGAGAAGCGGGGAGGGGUGCCACCUCCCAACUGAACCAGCAUCUUCAUAAAUGUUUCCUCCAUGUUUCGUGACUAAUGCAGAGUGAAGAUGCUCUCCACUGAGGCAAUAGUGCUCAAGCUGUGCCAUCUGUCAACAAUAGCUGGAAGAUCUGAAAACACAAAUUACUUGAUUUUACUCAAGUUUCUAGUCAUUGUGAGAUUUCGGCUUGUACCCCAUAGGUGCAUUACAACACAGACCAUAUUUUGGCUGUGGCUUUAUUUUGGGUAUGGCUAUAUUUUGGGUAUGAGCUAAUUGUUUAUGUUUAAGGCCACCCCCCCUAGGGGGGGCUCCAUUGGGAGGUGGUAAGCCUUAAAGAAUCAGGCCCCAGUGGGCAGAAGAUAGGCUAUUGGAGAAUGAGGACAUUUUUGGGAGACUCCCUGAGUUCCUGUGUGAGACAGUUCCUGUAGAAGGAGCAAGCAGGACUCCUCCCAUCCUCCCUCCCUUGGGAGGUAUCAUCAGUUGCUUGCACCUAUGCAGAUACCCACUCUUUCUGUCUGCUGGGAAGGGAUACAGCUGAGAGUUGGUCUCUCUGAGUUUGUGUCUUGCCCUUUGGACUUUCAGCAUUCAACUUCGUUUUCUUCACAGGUAGCUUGCCUCAGGUAUUUUAGUUCCAUGGAGCUGUCAGGGCUUCUGCUGCUGCUACUGCUGCUGCUUCUGCUGCUGCUGGCCUGGGACCCACACUGAAACCCAUAGCCACAUAGCAUCAUUAUUCUCAUGUAUUAGGUUUUAAAGGAAGAGCUGUAAAAACACCACUAGAGCUCUAUGUUCUUAAAAUGUUGUGUAGCUUGGUACAUGGCUCAUGUCUGCAAUCUCAGCACUGGGAAGGCUGAUGCAGGAGGAUUGCCAGGAACUCAAGGCUAUUCUGGACUACAUAGGGAAUUUCAGGUCAGCCAGAGACACAAUGCUUCAAACCACCCAAAGGGAGAGAAAAAGCAUAAAUAAAUGAUUGACAUGAUGGAGCUAAGGCUUCUUUGUAAACACGGUGGGCACUCUCUUUUUCUUAUACUUAGGAAAGAUGGGAGAAGGGUUCAGAGCUUGGGCUCUGGAGUCAGAUCUGCUCAGGGUCCCCCCUCAGCAUUACCCCUUCAAGUACUAAAAUUCAUUAAUGUCAUGGAACCUUUUUGACUCAGUUUCCUAAUCUGUAAAUGGGAAUGAAUUGAUGACCUGCACACUGGAUUGUUGGGGAAUAAAGAAGACAACAUUUAUGGUACCCUAGUAGAAAAGUUCUGUUUAAAUGUUAUUGUUACAGCAAGAGUGGUAAGUGAUGUGUAACACCAUUAGUGGGAUUUUGCCUAUUUUCUGUGUCUGCCAGCUUUCAAUUGCCAUGACAAAACACGAGAGGAAAACACUGAAAAAGAGGAAAGGCCUAUUUCGGCUCAGGGUUUCAGAGAUUUCAGCC